rnacentral:ncRNA from 1 species
CUAUAGUUUUCCCGCUGCCGCAAAAUCGGCAGCCGGGCGUGGAAACCUGAAUA